UUUUGAGAGAGAGAGACAGCACACACAAGCAGGGGAGGGGCAGAAAGAGAGGGAGACAUAGAAUCCAAAGCAGGCUCCAGAGCGGUCAGCACAGAGCCUAACGCAGGGCUCGAACCCAGGAACACUAGAUCAUGACCUGAGCCACAGUCAGAUGCUUAACCCUCUGAGCCACCCAGGCGCCCCUCAGAUUUCCAAGAGAAACCCAUCAAAGACCUAUGUUGUAGAUACGCUGGCAUGCUUCCCGUUAAUUUCAUGUGGCUGCUGUACUCCGAGCACAGUGGUUCCUAAAGUGUGGUUCCUCCCCCAGCAGCAUCAGCCUCCCCUGGGAGGCUCCUCCUCCCCAGACUCACUGAAGCCAUGCUCCGGGGGUGGGACCCUGGUUCUGUACUUCACCAGGCCCGCUAGGGGGUUCUGAUGCACACUCAGGUGUGAGGGCUGCUGUUGUUAAGAAUUAUUGCCCCACGGCCUUUCUCUUUCCCUCGUUGCUUUCCCUUUACUUUUCAAUUGCACCUGUCCCAGAAAUGUUAAUCCUCAGGGGAGAAACUCCAGCUUGGGGAGACCAAGUCUCUCUGCUAUGUCCAAGUGCAUCUCUGGCAUUAUGGAGAUGAGAAUAGUUCCGCCAGAGCUGUUCAGAAAUGUGCAAGCAAGUCAAUUUGCGUACCACAUUUUUGUCUUCCCGGUGGGACUUCGUGUCCCAAAGGCAGAGAAUAAAGUGAUGUCUGGUUGCAAGAGCCAGAUGACAGCUGAGCCAGCUAGCAGCUAAGGGGUCUGCAGGGAAGAGCGUUGGCUUCCAGGCAGAGUGAGACGGAGAGUCCUAUGGACCAUUUGCCCCCUCACCCCUGAGUAUGAUCGUUUGAAGGAGGACAAUCAUUUUUAAAACUCUCCUCGUUUAUUGAGCGGCCACAGUAUCCUGGGCACUCCGCCAAAUGCUUUGAGUACAACACCUCGCGAGAUCACCACACCUUCCUCACGGAAGAGAAAGUACCGAAGAGGAAACAGAGGGUCACAGAGGUUGCCUGACAUUACACAGCUAGCCGGUGACCAAGCCAGGAGUAGAACACAGACCCCCGACCCUUUUCCGUAUCCCAUAUUGUGAAUAAACAUACUCCUUAGAUUUGC